rnacentral:misc_RNA from 1 species
AAAAACCAAAGACGACUUCCGGUGAAAAUAAACGCGUUUUGCCGUUUUCACGGUUUUGCCUUGUUUUCUAGCACCGUUUCGCAUGUGGUUUCGUACCUCUUGCAAUCAUGAUCGGUGCAUUGGGCGGAGACUCCGAAGUUAAAAACAGAGAGUUAAUGUACAGAUUAAUGAUAAGUCAGUUGUUUUAUGAUGGACAUCAACAGUUAGCAGUUCAGCUCUCUAACCUUGUCAAGGCACACCCUGCUUGUCCCCCAUCAGACAGACUCUUCAAAGUUGUCAAAUUUGGCUUGGAAUCAGAAGAAGAACUGUCUGGAAGCAAAAAGAUUGAACAAAAUAUUGCGCCAGGUUCAGGAAUUGACUUGGAAUACGAAACAGAUGUACAGUCAAUAUCUCCUGAGGGAGCCCUGUAUGAGACUUGUUAUGUCACAGCCCACAAAGGCCCAUGCCGGGCGGGAGCAUUCCACUCCUCAGGGAAACUCAUUGCCACAGGAUCAGAGGAUGCCUCCAUCAAGGUAUGAUAGAUACUGUUGCUGAAGAUUUGCAAGCCAUCUACACUAUAAUGGACCAGGGCAGGUUGGAAGUGUGGAUGGUUGGCAGUUGACUUUCAUUUGUAAAUUCCUUUUUCAGUGUCUUGAAAGACAAACUUGAAGAACUGUAAGAUUGAAGUUGUUAGUUUUGUAGUAUUUGUACAUUGUAUUUUUGCUUCAAUACAGUAAAACUUGUUUAGUACAAACAUGGAUAUAGCAAAAUCUUGGUUAAAGCGAAGUUUUUUGGAGUCCCAGGUAAAUUUCUUAACAAAUCUUUGCAAAAUUUUACAGUUAUAACAAAUUUGGAUAUAAUGAAUUUACUGAUAUAAUGAACUGAUUUUGAGUCACGUAGAGGUGAAUAAUAACAAAAUUUAACUUUUAUAUAAGUUUGGAUGAAUAUAUUUUCACAUAAAUUCUUCAAUUUACAAUCUGAUUAUUAAAGGUAUCAAAAGAAUGUAUUUUCAUUCUAAACCUCAAUUAGCAAAAAUUGUAGUCUGGUGAAAGAAAACAUGUAUAUAGUGAAUAUGUUAUAGUUAUUAUCAUGAAUUCGUUUAAUGGAUAUAACGAAUUACGGAUAUAAUGAAGUAAAUCCACUAGUCCCUAGGACUUCGCUAUAACCGAGUUUUACUGUCUAUACAUGUAUAUAUGUAUGGUUUUAUUUUCAGGGAGAUGGAGUUGUCAAUAGUUGGUCCAUACAUUUAUCUUUAGACUUAUUAAAAAUACUUCAUUAUUAAUCACAAUUGACAUCUUGAAAAUACUUACAUUUUUUUGUUUUAUUACAUAUUUAUUUAGAUCUUAGAUGUAGACAGAAUGUUGGCCAAAAGUGCCACCCCUGCAGAAAUAAUUGCUAUGGAAACCCCACAACAAGCAAUGGAAAAUCACCCAGUCAUUAGAACACUGUAUGAUCAUAUAGAUGAGGUCACAUGUUUAGAUUUCCAUCCUACACAUUCUAUUCUGGCAUCAGGCAGCACAGACUACAGCAUUCGUUUCUUUGAAUAUUCAAAACCUUCUGUCAAGAAAGCUUACAAAAGUAUACAGGAGGCUGCCCCAGUCCGCUGUCUGUCAUUUCAUCCCUCGGGGGAUUUUCUCCUGGUGGGGGCGGAUCAUCCAACAGUGAGGUUGUACGAUGUGAACACCUUCCAGUGCUUUGUGGGUAGGAACCCCAGUACUCAUCACACCCUCCCUGUCACUACAGUAAAAUGGAGCCCCAAUGCCAAUUUGUACGCCACAGGCUCGUUGGAUGGGGAUAUAAAGGUCUGGGAUGGAGUCAGCAAUCUGGUGAUUAGCACGUUUAAGAAAGCUCAUGAUGGAGAAGAGGUGUGUUCUGUCACCUUCUCCAGGAACUCAAAGUAUGUUUUGUCCUGUGGGAAGGACUCCUUGGUCAAGCUGUGGGAGCUGUCCACCAACAGGUGUCUGAUAGUGUACACAGGGGCAGGGAUGACCGGCAAGAUGCAGCACGGGGCACAGGCAGUGUUCAACCACACAGAGGAUUACAGUCAGUACACACAUGUAAACUCUGGUCAAAGAGACAUGACGUGCAGUUGAUGCUAAAUUAGCUAUCAAUAUACAAUGUACUUCUGAUUUUGGAACUAAAGUGGAAGAAUCUUUCAUUUAGACUGAGUUUUGGGGUUUUUUUUGCAAUGAGAAACAAUGCCAUUAUCAGUCUCUCCAGAUUCUGUUAAUUUAAUUGUUAAUUUGAUUGAUUUCUUUCAUGUAGUGGAGAGAACAGGUUCUUGUUCCAUGCAGUACUUCUCACUGGCUGCUCAGUAGUUCUAUUUGUGUGUGGAUGAACAAGAAUACAAAUUUCCAAUCCAUUUGUUAGAACAGUUUGUUAAUUCUAUAAUUUCUUUCCUGCAGUUUUCUUUCCUGAUGAGAACACAACCUCUCUGUGUUGCUGGGACUCAAGGAAUGCUGAGAGACAGAGGUUACUGGCCCUGGGACAUAACGGAGCUGUACGAUACAUUGGGCACUCCCCCACUGGCCCCGCCUUCAUCACAUGCAGCGAGGAUUUCCGUGCCAGAUUCUGGUACAGAAAGGCAGAUACAGACUAAAUACAUGUAUCAUGACUUCAUUUUCUCAUUUUGUAAAUACUUCAAUAAAACUUUUUAUGUGCUG